rnacentral:rRNA from 1 species
CCUACGGGAGGCAGCAGUGGGGAAUAUUGCACAAUGGGGGAAACCCUGAUGCAGCGACGCAGCGUGAGUGAAGAAGUAAUUAGUUAUGUAAAGCUCUAUCAGCAGGGAAGAAAAUGAAGGUACCUGAGUAUGAAGCCACGGCUAACUACGUGCAAGCAGCCGCUGUAAUACGCAGGGGGCAAGCGUUAUACGGAUUUACUGGGUGUAAAGGGAGCGUAGAGGGGUGGUCAAGUCUGUAGUGAAAGUCUGGGGCUCAACCUCCGGACUGCUCUGGAAACUGUAAGGCUGGAGUGCAGGAGAGGUAAGUGGAAUUCCUAGUGUAGCGGUGAAAUGCUUAGAUAUUAGGAAGAACACCAAUGGCGAAGGCAGCUUACUAGACUGUAACUGACGUUGAGGCUCGAAAGCGUGGGUAGCAAACAGGAUUAGAUACCCGUGUAGUC